rnacentral:sRNA from 1 species
AAUCCUCCAACAUGGAGCCUCUUGCAGCUUACCCGCUAAAAUGUUCCGGGCCCAGAGCAAAGUUUGGAGAAUCGGAGCCCCGCCCAAGCAAGGAAGUAGAAUCUUUUGCAAGAAAAAACUACGGAGUAACAUUCCCCAUCUUCCACAAGAUUAAGAUUCUAGGAUCUGAAGGAGAACCUGCAUUUAGAUUUCUUGUUGAUUCUUCAAAGAAGGAACCAAGGUGGAAUUUUUGGAAGUAUCUUGUCAACCCUGAGGGUCAAGUUGUGAAGUUCUGGAGGCCAGAGGAGCCCAUUGAAGUCAUCAGGCCUGACAUAGCAGCUCUGGUUAGACAAGUGAUAAUAAAAAAGAAAGAGGAUCUAUGAGAAUGCCAUUCCGUUUCUAAUAGAACAGAGAAAUGUCUCCAUGAGGGUUUGGUCUCAUUUUAAACAUUUUUUUUUUGGAGACAGUGUCUCACUCUGUCACCCAGGCUGGAGUGCAGUGGUGCGUUCUCAGCUCAUUGCAACCUCUGCCUUUUUAAACAUGCUAUUAAAUGUGGCAAUGAAGGAUUUUUUUUUAAUGUUAUCUUGCUAUUAAGUGG